UCCUACGGGACGCAGCAGUGGGGGAUAUUGCACAAUGGGGGAAACCCUGAUGCAGCGACGCCGCGUGUGGGAAGACGGUCCUCUGGAUUGUGAACCACUGUCCCCAGGGACGAAAAUGACGGUACCUGGGGAGGAAGCUCCGGCUAACUACGUGCCAGCAGCCGCGGUAAUACGUAGGGAGCGAGCGUUGUCCGGAAUUACUGGGUGUAAAGGGAGCGUAGGCGGGGAUGCAAGUUGGGUGUCAAAACUACCGGCUCAACUGGUAGUCGCACUCAAAACUGCAGCUCUUGAGUGAAGUAGAGGCA
rnacentral:rRNA from 1 species